rnacentral:rRNA from 1 species
GAUGAACGCUGGCGGCGUGCCUAAUACAUGCAAGUCGAGCGAACGGACGAGAAGCUUGCUUCUCUGAUGUUAGCGGCGGACGGGUGAGUAACACGUGGAUAACCUACCUAUAAGACUGGGAUAACUUCGGGAAACCGGAGCUAAUACCGGAUAAUAUUUUGAACCGCAUGGUUCAAAAGUGAAAGACGGUCUUGCUGUCACUUAUAGAUGGAUCCGCGCUGCAUUAGCUAGUUGGUAAGGUAACGGCUUACCAAGGCAACGAUGCAUAGCCGACCUGAGAGGGUGAUCGGCCACACUGGAACUGAGACACGGUCCAGACUCCUACGGGAGGCAGCAGUAGGGAAUCUUCCGCAAUGGGCGAAAGCCUGACGGAGCAACGCCGCGUGAGUGAUGAAGGUCUUCGGAUCGUAAAACUCUGUUAUUAGGGAAGAACAUAUGUGUAAGUAACUGUGCACAUCUUGACGGUACCUAAUCAGAAAGCCACGGCUAACUACGUGCCAGCAGCCGCGGUAAUACGUAGGUGGCAAGCGUUAUCCGGAAUUAUUGGGCGUAAAGCGCGCGUAGGCGGUUUUUUAAGUCUGAUGUGAAAGCCCACGGCUCAACCGUGGAGGGUCAUUGGAAACUGGAAAACUUGAGUGCAGAAGAGGAAAGUGGAAUUCCAUGUGUAGCGGUGAAAUGCGCAGAGAUAUGGAGGAACACCAGUGGCGAAGGCGACUUUCUGGUUUGUAACUGACGCUGAUGUGCGAAAGCGUGGGGAUCAAACAGGAUUAGAUACCCUGGUAGUCCACGCCGUAAACGAUGAGUGCUAAGUGUUAGGGGGUUUCCGCCCCUUAGUGCUGCAGCUAACGCAUUAAGCACUCCGCCUGGGGAGUACGACCGCAAGGUUGAAACUCAAAGGAAUUGACGGGGACCCGCACAAGCGGUGGAGCAUGUGGUUUAAUUCGAAGCAACGCGAAGAACCUUACCAAAUCUUGACAUCCUUUGACAACUCUAGAGAUAGAGCCUUCCCCUUCGGGGGACAAAGUGACAGGUGGUGCAUGGUUGUCGUCAGCUCGUGUCGUGAGAUGUUGGGUUAAGUCCCGCAACGAGCGCAACCCUUAAGCUUAGUUGCCAUCAUUAAGUUGGGCACUCUAAGUUGACUGCCGGUGACAAACCGGAGGAAGGUGGGGAUGACGUCAAAUCAUCAUGCCCCUUAUGAUUUGGGCUACACACGUGCUACAAUGGACAAUACAAAGGGCAGCGAAACCGCGAGGUCAAGCAAAUCCCAUAAAGUUGUUCUCAGUUCGGAUUGUAGUCUGCAACUCGACUACAUGAAGCUGGAAUCGCUAGUAAUCGUAGAUCAGCAUGCUACGGUGAAUACGUUCCCGGGUCU